GCAAACCACAACUAACAACACUGAGCAAACCGCUGUGAGUAUGCAAACAAGAGGAAAUCAAGGACCUGAACAAAUAUUUCGUGUGAAGACAUUUAGAAUAUUGGGUGGUAUACAGAUUGGGCUCGGCGCAAUAUUAGUAAUCCUGAGCCUAGUUGAAUUGAUAGGGAGGGUUUUCCAUAUCGUAGUAACCUUACCAAUACUUAUAUGCUCUGGAUGGUUUGUCAUGACUGGAUGCCUACCUCUGUGCAUGUCAAAGAAUACAGAAUCGAGUUUUAAAUGCAAGAAAAUCGGUUUUAUGGUGUGUAGUAUAAUUGGAGCAGCAUUUUUUUCCCCGAUUAUAUUUAGUUUCACACUUACUGCUGGA